rnacentral:rRNA from 1 species
GACGAACGCUGGCGGCGUGCUUAACACAUGCAAGUCGAACGCUGAAGCUCAGCUUUUGUUGGGUGGAUGAGUGGCGAACGGGUGAGUAACACGUGAGUAACCUGCCCCCUUCUUUGGGAUAACGCCCGGAAACGGGUGCUAAUACUGGAUAUUCACUGGUCUUCGCAUGGGGGUUGGUGGAAAGGGUUUUUCUGGUGGGGGAUGGGCUCGCGGCCUAUCAGCUUGUUGGUGGGGUGAUGGCCUACCAAGGCUUUGACGGGUAGCCGGCCUGAGAGGGUGACCGGUCACAUUGGGACGGAGAUACGGCCGAGACUCCUACGGGAGGCAGCAGUGGGGAAGAUUGCACAAUGGGCGCAAGCCUGAUGCAGCGACGCCGCGGGAGGGAUGGAGGCCUUCGGGUUGUGAACCUCUUUCGCUCAUGGUCAAGCCGAAACAAUGGUUGUGGUGAGGGUAGUGGGUAAAGAAGCGCCGGCUAACUACGUG